UACGAAGGGGGCUAGCGUUGCUCGGAAUUACUGGGCGUAAAGCGCACGUAGGCGGCUUUCUAAGUCUGGGGUGAAAUCCUGGAGCUCAACUCCAGAACUGCCUUCGAUACUGGAGAGCUCGAGUCCGGGAGAGGUGAGUGGAACUGCGAGUGUAGAGGUGAAAUUCGUAGAUAUUCGGAAGAACACCAGUGGCGAAGGCGACUUACUGGACACAUAUUGACGCUGAGGUGCGAAAGCGUGGGGAGCAAACAGG
rnacentral:rRNA from 1 species